GAUCGGUAACCAGCACGGGCGUAGAGGCAACUCCACGCCCGUGUACGUAUGUCAGGCGACUUAAUUCUG
rnacentral:sRNA from 1 species